rnacentral:rRNA from 3 species
AGAGUUUGAUCAUGGCUCAGAUUGAACGCUGGCGGCAGGCCUAACACAUGCAAGUCGAGCGGUAGCACAGAGAGCUUGCUCUCGGGUGACGAGCGGCGGACGGGUGAGUAAUGUCUGGGAAACUGCCUGAUGGAGGGGGAUAACUACUGGAAACGGUAGCUAAUACCGCAUAACGUCGCAAGACCAAAGUGGGGGACCUUCGGGCCUCAUGCCAUCAGAUGUGCCCAGAUGGGAUUAGCUGGUAGGUGGGGUAACGGCUCACCUAGGCGACGAUCCCUAGCUGGUCUGAGAGGAUGACCAGCCACACUGGAACUGAGACACGGUCCAGACUCCUACGGGAGGCAGCAGUGGGGAAUAUUGCACAAUGGGCGCAAGCCUGAUGCAGCCAUGCCGCGUGUGUGAAGAAGGCCUUCGGGUUGUAAAGCACUUUCAGCGGGGAGGAAGGCGAUAAGGUUAAUAACCUUGUCGAUUGACGUUACCCGCAGAAGAAGCACCGGCUAACUCCGUGCCAGCAGCCGCGGUAAUACGGAGGGUGCAAGCGUUAAUCGGAAUUACUGGGCGUAAAGCGCACGCAGGCGGUCUGUCAAGUCGGAUGUGAAAUCCCCGGGCUCAACCUGGGAACUGCAUUCGAAACUGGCAGGCUAGAGUCUUGUAGAGGGGGGUAGAAUUCCAGGUGUAGCGGUGAAAUGCGUAGAGAUCUGGAGGAAUACCGGUGGCGAAGGCGGCCCCCUGGACAAAGACUGACGCUCAGGUGCGAAAGCGUGGGGAGCAAACAGGAUUAGAUACCCUGGUAGUCCACGCUGUAAACGAUGUCGAUUUGGAGGUUGUGCCCUUGAGGCGUGGCUUCCGGAGCUAACGCGUUAAAUCGACCGCCUGGGGAGUACGGCCGCAAGGUUAAAACUCAAAUGAAUUGACGGGGGCCCGCACAAGCGGUGGAGCAUGUGGUUUAAUUCGAUGCAACGCGAAGAACCUUACCUGGUCUUGACAUCCACAGAACUUUCCAGAGAUGGAUUGGUGCCUUCGGGAACUGUGAGACAGGUGCUGCAUGGCUGUCGUCAGCUCGUGUUGUGAAAUGUUGGGUUAAGUCCCGCAACGAGCGCAACCCUUAUCCUUUGUUGCCAGCGGUUAGGCCGGGAACUCAAAGGAGACUGCCAGUGAUAAACUGGAGGAAGGUGGGGAUGACGUCAAGUCAUCAUGGCCCUUACGACCAGGGCUACACACGUGCUACAAUGGCAUAUACAAAGAGAAGCGACCUCGCGAGAGCAAGCGGACCUCAUAAAGUAUGUCGUAGUCCGGAUUGGAGUCUGCAACUCGACUCCAUGAAGUCGGAAUCGCUAGUAAUCGUAGAUCAGAAUGCUACGGUGAAUACGUUCCCGGGCCUUGUACACACCGCCCGUCACACCAUGGGAGUGGGUUGCAAAAGAAGUAGGUAGCUUAACCUUCGGGAGGGCGCUUACCACUUUGUGAUUCAUGACUGGGGUGAAGUCGUAACAAGGUAACCGUAGGGGAACCUGCGGUUGGAUCACCU